CGGGGCAGGUGUGCAGGGCAGGCGUGCAGGGGCAAGGCAGGUGCGUAAGAGCGAGGCAGAUGCGCAGGUGCGCGGACCAGGUGUGUGAGGUGCGGGGGCAGGUGCGCGGGGGCGGGGCAGGUGCGCAGGAGCGAGGCGGGAGCGAGGCAGGUGUGCGGGCGCGGGGAAGGAGCGCGGGGCAGGCGGGCGGGGAUGAGGCAGGUGCGCCGUUCCUCCACCCCACGACCAGGUGAGGGCGAACGGGGAACUGCCUGAGCUCCGAGCCCGGAAGCUUCAAAAUCAGAACGAGGAAGGUCGGUGAGGAGGCCACGCUCGCGGGACGGGGGCAGGAAGCGCAGCCGGAGCUGCAGAUCUCGGCCGCGCCCCGCGGGCUCCAAUCCCGAGCGUCCCCCGCACGCGCAGCCGCGCUCGCCCGCGGGGCCUAAGGGCUGCUCAGGGCGGAGACCCCGUAGGUCCCGGUUCUGGCGGAUUUGGCCCAGGCACCCCCAGCCCCCAGAUCUGGCCGGGUGCGGCGGCUCAUGCCUGUAAUCCCAGCACUUUGGGAGGCCGAAGCAGGUGGAUCACAUGAAGUCAGAAGUUGGAGACUAGCCUGGCCAACAUGCCAGCCUCCAGCAUCGCCUCCUCUGGGAUCUUCUCUGACUUCCCAGUCGGUUUCAGAAGCCUCUGAUGACCCCAUGCGGAGAAGACUGCUCCCCUCACUGCUGGCACACGGCAGAUGCUCAACACUUGCUCCAGCUUCGCCUUCCGCCGCGAGUUGAAGCUCCCCGAGGCCUCCUCAGAAGCAGAAGCCACCACGCUUCCUGUACAGCCUGUGGGACCCGGAGCCAGUUCAACCUCUUUUCUUUAUAAAUUACCCAGACUCGGCCGGGCACGGUGGCUCACGCCUGUAAUCCCAGCACUUUGUUGAGACCGAGGCAGGCAGAUCACGAGGUCAGGAGAUCGAGAACAUCCUGGCUAACACGGUGAAACCCCGUCUCUACUAAAAAUACAAAAAAUUAGCCGGGCGUGGUGGCGGGCGCCUGUGGUCCCAGCUACUCGGGAGGCUGAGGCAGGAGAAUGGUGUGAACCCGGG
rnacentral:lncRNA from 1 species